rnacentral:sRNA from 1 species
AGAGCCCCCUACUAGGUAGCCAAGACAAGCCAAGUUCAAGCGCACUUAGCCUCUCGACCACACUUCCCAUUGAUAGUAUUAGUGAUUACAAUUCUAAAAUAAAUAUGGUACACCUCUUCCAAGCUUAUUCUUUUAUAAUCAUAAUCAAAAUUGUUUUUUUAAUAGAUGUUCUUGGACAGAAUUUUCUGGUUAUAUUGGGCAUUCAAACUUCAAAAAUAUCUCUUGUCAUUGCAGAGUCUGCGUACAGAUAAAUUCAUGUUAUUGUUAAUAGAUUUUAUUUUUACUGGAUUUGUUUAUAUUACCUGUACUGGUAUAUUUGAAAACAAAGAAAACUUUUUUUUUACCUUUUUUUCAUUAUCAUGUUUUCAUCAAUAAUUUUUUAAUUCAUUUUAACAGUUCAUCAGUUUUUAUAAGUGCUCUUGUCCAUAUUUAUAUGUUCAUUGUUUUUUUGUUUGUUCAUUGUAGUUGUACACUAGUUUAACUUGCAUUUUAAAGUUCAUUUUGAUAAUUACAGAGAUCAUAGUAGUUUUGCUAAGUACUUGUCUAUUUUACCAAUUUUGUUUUAUAAUUUUUUAUUUUUUUUUAUGUAUAAGAGCUUUAGUUUUACAAUCAUUACUUGAUAUUUUAAUGUUGUUUUAAUAAUUUGCAUUGUAACUAUAAGCUAGACUAAAUAUACAUCUCUCAGAGCAUUGACUCCUUAACAUUUUGCUUUUUUUUUUUUUACUUAUGAAAUAUUCCUGUUUAAAUUUGUAAAUUUCACAUUUUACCUUAGCAGAAAUUACUGAGUCUUUCAUAAAUUUUGACUUGUACUUUGUUCACUUAUAAAAAAAAUAAUUUUAAAUAUAAAAAAGAAAUAUCUGGACUAGGUGCUUUUGAUUAUUUAUUAACUAAAUUUUAGAAGUUUUUUAAAAGAUUUGAAUACAUUACUGUUGCCUGAUAGUUGGAUAACUUGUGUUAUAUGUAUAUAGACCAGUAAUACCCUUCAUAGCAGUGGUGUCAGGUUAACAUCUCUUUGGAUUUUUAGUAGGCCCUUUAUUUUUAUACUAGACAUCUGUGAAAAACUCACAAACUCAAAUCCAUGUAACCGUAGCAGAAUUUGUAUUUUUCUUAUUUUUGAUUAGUAUAAUUUGAACUUUAGGAUUUUUAAAAUGACCUUGAUGAGUACUGGCAUGUGUCAAGGAAGUGAAGGCAGUUGAUAAUUCAACUGGCCACAUGACAUCCUUGUUAAUCUUCUGCCAAAAAAAUCAGAUGGGCUUUAAAUCAUCUGUCCCUUAGAUCUUGAGUUUUUAAAUUCAUAGCUAAUAUGUUCUAGUCAAAUGCAAGUUAUAGGGUUGUAAUUUCUUUGUUGCUAGAAUGAUUAAAAUCAGGACAAAUGUGCGAAGUCUUUGUUAGGAACAGCCUAUCACCAUCUUGUCUAUAAAAAUGCAAAUGAUAUGUAUCGGAAGACCUAUUUCAAGGUACCCAAAAUGUCCAUCUUAGCAUAAUUUUAUUAUGUGUAAUUAUUCUAUAGUGAUCUCUGUGUUGAUAUGUGUGUUUAUAUCUGAAGUUUCAAGUCAGUCUCCUUGAUAGCCAUGCUAUUGAUCUACUUAUUCAGGCAUCAUCUUUUUUUAUAUUAAUCUUAGUUUUUAACAUUAGAUAAUGCAAGGAAUACUUUACAGUAACAAAAAAAAAAUUUUUUGUAUUCAUUUUUAAAGAAAUUCUAUAAAUAAAAAAACGUGUGAUUGCAGUCCUAAAACUUUCAUUCUCAUUAUUAUAUCUAUAUAUCUAUAACUUGUUCUAUUCUGCUUUAUAUUAUUCACAUUGUUGUUGUUUUGUUUUUUUACUUGUACAUUCUCAAACUGUUAAAUUGUUUAAGAUGCUGAGAAACAAUAAGAUUUGUGAACAAACUUUAAAUUAGAACUUCAUAAUCUGAUGAUUGUGUCAGGAUUUGUCCAUAACUUUAGUGUUCCAACUUCUUUUUUUUUUUUGGUUUUAUAUUGUUUUAUAAUAUAAGGUUUGUAUUUGAGUAUGAAGAUUUAUGAGAAGUUCAGUAUUUCACGUUGCUACACAGCCCCAGCUUCGACCUACAUAUUUUGCAACAUCCAGAGCAGACAUAACCGUUGUCUGCCGGUGGUUGAUUAGAUUCUCUUUUCACUGUCUACAUCUGUCCUUGAUUGUGUAUUUUCUUUUGCUCUACUUUAAUCUAAAGAGUAAUAGAGUUUAAUGGAAAAUACAUAUUUUCCUGAUUGUCAAAGUUUUCUUAAGUUUAAUUUAAAUAACUUAGUUGAACAUACAUAUAACUAGAAUAUGUGUGCAAUAUUAUUUUUAUUUUCAAGAACAUCUAUUAAAUUUCAUCUUAUGUUUGUAAAUUAUUUCAGAGACUCAUUUAAAAAUUAUGUUGUUCACUUAUAUAUAUAUAUAUAUAUUAUGUCUGAAAAUCUGGAUUAACAUUGGAAACAUUGUUGAAAUAAAUUUUUGUCCAACUUUGUA